GUACAAACUCAAGCAUUAUCUCUGCGUGAUGUUGCAGAAGUGGAGGAACCAGAUUUUCUAAAGUAAUUGUGAUGAUAGAAAUGUGUUAGCCUCAGAAGCUACUGAGCUGGUUCAUUCCAUCCUAGUACAGUG